CAGACUCCUACGGGAGGCAGCAGUGGGGAAUAUUGCACAAUGGGCGCAAGCCUGAUGCAGCCAUGCCGCGUGUGUGAAGAAGGCCUUCGGGUUGUAAAGCACUUUCAGCGGGGAGGAAGGCGAUAAGGUUAAUAACCUUGUCGAUUGACGUUACCCGCAGAAGAAGCACCGGCUAACUCCGUGCCAGCAGCCGCGGUAAUACGGAGGGUGCAAGCGUUAAUCGGAAUUACUGGGCGUAAAGCGCACGCAGGCGGUCUGUCAA
rnacentral:rRNA from 1 species